rnacentral:rRNA from 1 species
UACGAAGGGGCGAGCGUUGUUCGGAUUUACUGGGCGUAAAGGGCGCGCAGGCGGCCAUUCAAGUCAGGCGUGAAAGCCCCGGGCUUAACCUGGGAGGUGCGCUUGGGACUGGACGGCUAGAGAUCGGGAGAGGAGAGUGGAAUUCCCAGUGUAGAGGUGAAAUUCGUAGAUAUUGGGAAGAACACCGGUGGCGAAGGCGGCUCUCUGGACCGAUACUGACGCGUG